CUUAAUGGAUCACUCUAGUAAAUGGUCAGAAAAAUUAUAAUAUUCUAAUAUUGUUGAUUACCAAAAAUUUUAAGUAGUGUUUUCAUUUGAAAAAAUAUAUAAGAAAUUUUCAUUAUGAAUUUUAAGAGUUUUUUGUUUCGAACAGUAAUAUUUUUCGCCAUGCUGUCAGUAACUACAGGAAUUUACCAUCCAGACAGUCCGCGCUAACGUCAAAACUGAAAUAUUCAACAUCCAUGCCACAUUCAGAAAAUCAAAAUAUUUACUAUUUUUUAAAAUGUACAUCAUGGUCUAUUAUUGUAUUUUAACAUUUAGAUUUUUCUAAUCAAACAUUACAUAUAACGCAUUUUGUUAUUAAAUAUACUACUGUGACGUUAGAUG